rnacentral:rRNA from 1 species
AUACGGAGGGGGCUAGCGUUGUUCGGAAUUACUGGGCGUAAAGCGUCCGCAGGCGGAUAAUUAAGUUAGAGGUGAAAUCCCAGGGCUCAACCCUGGAACUGCCUUUAAAACUGGUUAUCUAGAGUUAUGGAGAGGUAAGUGGAAUUCCUAGUGUAGAGGUGAAAUUCGUAGAUAUUAGGAGGAACACCAGAGGCGAAGGCGGCUUACUGGACAUAUACUGACGCUGAGGGACGAAAGUGUGGGGAGCGAACGGGAUUAGAAACCCUAGUAGUCC